GGCACUGAGACCUGCUGGCAGAGAACAGCCCAUGCCCAUUCCAUUAAUCUCUCUUGCAGUCCCAUGUGGGGUGCCCCUUGCCAGAGUUUCUGUUGAGAAUGCUCUUGCUAACUCUCAGACUGUGCCCUGGAGUUACUGAGAAGUUACCAGACACUGAAGAAAAAUAACUCUGUCCCAGCCAAAAUGAAGACACUUCUAAAAGAUGCCUUGAGUCAUGUUUUUAAGGUGCCUGACUAAGCAAGCUGAGCACCAGGUAAGGAGAUCUUUUUAAUUGACAUCACAAGCAGGUGUCUUGCCAGAUGGAGGACUUUGAGAGGUUGUGAUGUCUUUCUUAAUGGGAUAACUGGUUCAUUAUUCAGGGAUCUUGAUGAAGACAAGAAGCCCUAUUUUGUUUCAAAAAGUUUGAGUAGUGGCGCAUACAUACAGUUGCACGACAGAAGCUGGACUCUCACGGAAUCUGCAGAGGAAUUUAUCAUAUUCUCACUGGAGGGUUCGAAGUGAGUGAACAACUGUGUUGUGUUCAGCUGCUUAUUGUGUUAAACCAUGACAUAAAAGAAAAUACAAGAAGGGUGAGAUCCAAAUGACUUCGAGAAUUCUAUAGGCAGAUGUUUGCAGAAAUUUGAUCACAGAAACUUUGAAGAAAAGCAUUUAUAGAAAACAAGAACACACAGAACCAUCAGAUUGUGUCUCAAGUCAAGGCAAGUCUGGAAUUCUACCCUGAACUUUUCUUCAAAAUUCAUCAUAGCAAGACUAUGGCUAUGCACAGUGUAUUAUCUAGUAUUUACAUAGUUAUUUUGGUGCAGUUUUUACUUAGUUUUGCAGUGUGUAGAAAGCCAAGAUAUUUUGGAAAUGGUAUAACUUAACACAAGCCUUUCCAAGAUGACAUCAAAGUGAGUCUUAUUUUCAGUAUUUUCUCAUUUAAUGCAAUAUAAAAGAAAGGAAAAAUUUGUGAUUUUAGUCUAAAAGUAAUAUUCAGGGAGAAGGAAGUAUCUACAUGCUGAUUUCUUUGACCAAAAUGCAGAACAUAUUUAACCAGAUGCAAGAAAAAAAGGGGAAGCUUUGACCCAGUUUAAGAGCUAAGAAAAGCCUCUACUAACUCAGAGGAAACAGAAUUUCACCUUGUCUCUUAAAGGACAGAGAUAAAUGGUUGCUCAAAGAGACCAAAUAUCGAAGUGAUAACUCUUGUGAAUGUAAACUGCAUACACACACCACAUGAGUCCUGACUCCAAGAAUAAGGAACUGAGCAUCACUUGUGUUGUAACACACUUAUGGACAAUCAUUUAAGGAAAAAAAUCUUGUGGUCAGAACACUUUAAAAUUACUCGUUGAGGAAGAAACAUGAACUGCCUAUGCUAAUUUUCUAUCCUAGAUAUUGCAGUUCAAGAAGGAAAAGAAAACUUUCAGAGAAAAUCAUAUAUUUCUAUGAUCUGGAAUCAAGCAUAACAAAUCUAGGAAAUUAUUUGCAUUCCAAGCACUGCAAGCCUUUCUAACUCAGUGGAAACAGAAGCUAAAUGAUGGUGAUGUUUUUGGAUUGAUUUGUUUUGGUCUCAGCAUCAUUUCCAGGCUAACAGAGAUUGCUCUCUAUCUACUGUCCUUAGAUCUGAAGCAGGGAGCCAAAGAGUGUUUCUUCAGACCUUGAUGAGAAUUUUAGUAUCUGAAGUAAAAGUAAGUGCAUAAAAUGAUUUCAUUGGCUCACAUGAAUUGGGUACAUACAACUGAAUUACCAGCAUCUUUUUUUGUGCUGCCAAUAUCUCUUCUUUGAACCGUGCAUACAUAUAAUUGGCCUUUACAGUUCAAAAGAUUGAUAUUUAGGACUUGUGGUGUCUCUAUGAGUACAUCUGGCUUGUACAGCAACAUCUCAUUUUAUCUUCUUUACUACUUUAAAAUCUCAUGCAAUGUUUCUUAAUAACUGUAAUAAAGUGACUCUGCAUAAAAAGACAAUAAAAGAACAUUCUGCCAGAAAACA